rnacentral:rRNA from 1 species
UUAGAGUUUGAUCCUGGCUCAGGAUGAACGCUGGCGGCAUGCCUAAUACAUGCAAGUCGAACGAGAGACCUUCGGGUCUCUAGUGGCGAACGGGUGAGUAACACGUAGGGAACCUGCCCGCGCACCGGGAAUACGCUCUGGAAACGGAGAACAAAUCCCGAUGUACAGGAAGGAGGCAUCUUCUUUCUGUGAAACAUCCUCUAGGGGAUGGGGCGCGGAUGGACCUGCGGUGCAUUAGUUGGUUGGCGGGGUAAAGGCCCACCAAGACGAUGAUGCAUAGCCGGCCUGAGAGGGCGGACGGCCACAUUGGGACUGAGACACGGCCCAGACUCCUGCGGGAGGCAGCAGUAGGGAAUUUUCGUCAAUGGGCGCAAGCCUGAACGAGCGAUGCCGCGUGAGUGAAGAAGGCCUUCGGGUCGUAAAGCUCUGUUGCGGGGGAAAAAAGGCAGCAUCAGGAAAUGGGUGCUGACUGAUGGUGCCCCGCCAGAAAGUCACGGCUAACUACGUGCCAGCAGCCGCGGUAAUACGUAGGUGGCGAGCGUUAUCCGGAAUGAUUGGGCGUAAAGGGUGCGCAGGCGGUCCUGCAAGUCUGGAGUGAAACGCAUGAGCUCAACUCAUGCAUGGCUUUGGAAACUGGAGGACUGGAGAGCAGGAGAGGGCGGUGGAACUCCAUGUGUAGCGGUAAAAUGCGUAGAUAUAUGGAAGAACACCAGUGGCGAAGGCGGCCGCCUGGCCUGUUGCUGACGCUGAGGCACGAAAGCGUGGGGAGCAAAUAGGAUUAGAUACCCUAGUAGUCCACGCCGUAAACGAUGAGGACCAAGUGUUGGGGGUGAAACCUCAGUGCUGAAGUUAACGCAGUGAGUCCUCCGCCUGGGGAGUAUGCACGCAAGUGUGAAACUCAAAGGAAUUGACGGGGGCCCGCACAAGCGGUGGAGUAUGUGGUUUAAUUCGAAGCAACGCGAAGAACCUUACCAGUUCUUGACAUCCCAAUGAAUAAAGGGUAAAGCCUUUAGCCCUUCGGGGCAUUGGAGACAGGUGGUGCAUGGUUGUCGUCAGCUCGUGUCGUGAGAUGUUGGGUUAAGUCCCGCAACGAGCGCAACCCCUAUUUCCAGUAGCCAGCAGGUAAGGCUGGGCACUCUGGAGAGACUGCCCGGGACAACCGGGAGGAAGGCGGGGAUGACGUCAAAUCAUCAUGCCCCUUAUGGCCAGGGCGACACACGUGCUACAAUGGCGUAAACAAAGGGAAGCAGGACGGCGACGUUGAGCAAAUCCCAGAAAUAACGUCCCAGUUCGGAUUGUAGUCUGCAACCCGACUACAUGAAGCUGGAAUCGCUAGUAAUCGCAGAUCAGAAUGCUGCGGUGAAUACGUUCCCGGGCCUUGCACUCACCGCCCGUCA